AACGCGAAGAACCUUACCUGGGCUAGAAAGUACGCGGACCUGGUAGAAAUAUCGGGGUGCUCUUCGGAGAACGCGUGGUUAGGUGCUGCAUGGCUGUCGUCAGCUCGUGCCGUGAGGUGUUGGGUUAAGUCCCGCAACGAGCGCAACCCUUACUCGUAGUUGCUACCCGCAAGGGAGAACUCUACGAGGACUGCUCCGGAUAACGGAGAGGAAGGUGGGGAUGACGUCAAGUCAGCACGGCCUUUAUGUCCAGGGCUACACACGUGUUACAAUGCACGGUACAGACUGUUGCGAACCCGCGAGGGGGAGCUAAUCGGAUAAAACCGUGCUCAGUUCGGAUUGCAGUCUGCAACUCGGCUGCAUGAAGCUGGAAUCGCUAGUAAUGGCGUAUCAGAUCGACGCCGUGAAUACGUUCCCGGGCCUUGUACACACCGCUGUA
rnacentral:rRNA from 1 species